AAUUUUUCAUAGAUCUUUUGGAAUGUUUUCUAGUAGGAUUUCUGACCUUGGUUGGAAAUCCAAG